rnacentral:rRNA from 1 species
UUGAACGCUGGCGGCAUGCUUUACACAUGCAAGUCGAACGGCAGCGAGGAGAAGCUUGCUUCUCUGUCGGCGAGUGGCGAACGGGUGAGUAUAGCAUCGGAACGUGCCAAGUAGUGGGGGAUAACCAAACGAAAGUUUGGCUAAUACCGCGUAAGCUCUAAGGAGGAAAGUAGGGGACCUAAAUAAGGCCUUACGCUAUUUUAUCGGCCGAUGUCGGAUUAGCUAGUUGGUGGGGUAAUGGCUCACCAAGGCAAUGAUCCGUAGCGGGUCUGAGAGGACGAUCCGCCACACUGGGACUGAGACACGGCCCAGACUCCUACGGGAGGCGGCAGUGGGGAAUUUUGGACAAUGGGGGAAACCCUGAUCCAGCCAUGCCGCGUGUAUGAAGAAGGCCUUAGGGUUGUAAAGUACUUUUGUUAGGGAAGAAAAGCUAGUUUUUAAUAAAAAUUAGUGAUGACGGUACCUAAAGAAUAAGCACCGGCUAACUACGUG